GUGUAGCUCUGUGGUAAAGUGCAUGCUUGACAUGCAUUGAGGCCCUGGGUUCAAUUCCCAGCAC
rnacentral:tRNA from 1 species